GUCUCUGAGUUUGGACCUGGAAAACGAUGAAAGGGUACUCAAAUCGAGGAACCUGGACGUACAUUGUUUUGGCAAAGGAUUCAAACUUGUUUGCCAAAAGCAGCAAGCCAAUCUCAACCGAUUCGAUCAGCUGGUGCUUGUUUAUUUGGAGCUUCAAUCCGAGUAUCAACAAUUGCUCGAGUUUGAUUUUUAAGCUUGGUGGUAAUCAAAAUACUUGGUCCCAUUCCGGAGGCUCCGAUUGAUGCAGAAUUGGUUUGGCCAGCGGCACUGGUGGUGGCAAAACUUAUCGUGCUCAAAAGUAGCGCACUAGUGGUUCUGACCAGUCAAAUGUUCGUUCAACAGAUGCUAGUGUACCAGUGUGCCGAUGUACCAAUACCGACGUCCUAGUGGGAAACAUUUUCGUGUAAUAUUAUAAAAAAAAUAGACAAUGGUUUCAAUUAUUUAAUUAUUUAUCUGUAAUAAAAAUGUCUAA